CUACCCUGAUGCCUGUCUGCUGUAUCUGCUGUAGGGUGUUUUAUUGCCGUUCGUUUUAGAAGAAAAUCUGCAACAAGAAGUGUAGGCUUCUUUAAUAGUAACACGUUUGUGGGCAGGUCUUCCAACAAACACAGAAUGGAUUGACAAGUUUUCUGUCACCUGUAAAUAUUUUAAGGAAGUGACUUUACUAUUGUCAUUCUGAGAAUUUUCCCCACAGGUUUACAAUGGCAUGUAUAUAAAUGGUAGAAUGUAUAUACAUUAAAUAUGCUUAACUUGUAAUGUUCAUGUUAACUCCCUCUACUGUUUUGUAAAAUCACAUUAAAUAUAUUAAAAUACAUCAGAAAGGACACCGAAAAAAAAGGAGUGAAAACGUGGUAUGUUUUUUGAAUCUUGUUUCUUUUUGUUAGUCAAGUAUUCGAUUGUUUAUAUAUUGCUUUGUUAGAACAUUCCAUAAGAGAACAGUGCAGUGCAGGAUAGAAUCCUACACAUGGCUUCCCAAGUAGUCUCAUUUUCAUAUCCCAGGUUUUUCCUUCCAACUAUCUUUGUGCUUUGUUUUAUUUUGUUUUUUUUAGUAGCUUUAGG